GCGGGGGCGUGACGGUUGGCCUGCAUUGCGGCACGCCCCGUAGUAUCGGCACGACUUCGCGGGAAGCGCGCCUCUUUUCUUAGGGGUGCGUGCUGUCCUGGCGCCCCUGAGGGGUGCGGUCGCUGCAUCUCUGAGGUGGAACGCGGCCAUCGAGUCGUGGGGCUUCAGCCAAGGCGGGAAGAGCGCCGAGAUGUGCGUUCAAACGUGGAAAACGGGCAAGAGGCGGGCGGCUGCCGUGUCACGCGUGUCCUGCAUUUCUGCGUCGUGCUGAGUUAAGGAUGAUGCUACAUAGGAGCAUCACCUGAUUCUCGAAGGCAGCUGAAGGCACCAAAGAACGCGGAAGCAGUAGGAUAUAAACCCCUCCACUCUGCCAGCACAAUAAACGCAAAUAACUAAUAAACGUGUUCUUCUGACCUCCUGACUGCA